GCCAUUUAAUGUGGUGUGACAGGUUUAGCUUUAGACGAAGGUAAACAAAAAUUUUACGAAAUAUUCAAUCAUUUCAAAUUUCUUUCUGAUUACUGUGGUUGCUAGUUUCCUAGUAGUUAUUUGGAUUUGCAGUUGUGGGCCGCUUUCCUGAUGAUGAUAUUGAAGAAAUUGAGGAUUUUAGACUUGGGAAGGUACAUAGCCUUUGAUGAAUAUGAAGGGAUUGAGGUGGCAUGGAACCAGGUGAAGCUGAAUCUGAGUCACAAUUCCCUCUCCGGUUCCAUUGGGGACCUAUUUACUGGUCUGAAGAAUCUAAAACAAAUCUAAAACAAAUGUUCUGGACUGUGGUGAGAAGAUUGAGCUUCUGGUAGACAAAACAGAGAACCUCUGCUCACAGGUGAUGAACCUCAAUAUCAUUGUGGGCCUGAACCUGCUGAAGGACUCCGAAAUACUGGUGCUGAUGCCUUUUACUGCUACACAGCUCACCAAAUAUCGACAGAAGAAACCGGUCCCUUGGAAACAAUGGCAAUCAUUGGCAACAAGGAGAUCAUUGACAUUAACCAAGGU